UACCAGCACCCCGAGUGGUCGGGACGAUUAUUGGGCCUAAAGCAUCCGUAGCCGGUCCUACAAGUCUUCCGUUAAAUCCACCUGCUUAACAGAUGGGCUGCGGAAGAUACUAUAGGGUUAGGAGGCGGGAGAGGCAAGCGGUACUCAGUGGGUAGGGGUAAAAUCCUCUGAUCCAUUGAAGACCACCAGUGGCGAAGGCGGCUUGCCAGAACGCGCUCGACGGUGAGGGAUGAAAGCUGGGGGAGCAAACCGG
rnacentral:rRNA from 1 species